rnacentral:rRNA from 1 species
UACGUAGGGGGCAAGCGUUGUCCGGAUUUAUUGGGCGUAAAGAGCGUGUAGGCGGCCAUACAGGUCCGUUGUGAAAACUCGAGGCUUAACCUCGAGACGUCGAUGGAAACCGUCUGGCUAGAGUCCGGAAGAGGAGAGUGGAAUUCCUGGUGUAGCGGUGAAAUGCGCAGAUAUCAGGAAGAACACCUAUGGCGAAGGCAGCUCUCUGGGACGGUACUGACGCUGAGACGCGAAAGCGUGGGGAGCGAACAGG